rnacentral:rRNA from 1 species
AUGGGUUCGAAUCUAAGAGAAAUUCUAGAUAAUGUUUCCUACCCUGAAAUUUUCUUGUCUUUCCCGAAUGCUAAGGAGAAGAAGAGGAUUGAGUCAAAAGAAAAAGCUAUUUUGGAGUUUUAUCAACAAUUUGCUUGUGUAGGUGGGGACCUGCUAUUUUCGGAGUCCUUAUGCGAGGAAUUACAAAAUAAAUUUUUUCAACAAAAAUGUGAAUUAGGAAGGAUUGGUCGAUGAAAUAUGAAUCGGAGACUUAAUCUUGAUAUACCUCAGAACAAUACAUUCUUGUUACCACGAGAUGUAUUGGCCGCUACGGAUCAUUUGAUUGGAAUGAAAUUUGGAACGAGUAUACUUGACGAUGACGAUAUGAAUCACUUGAAAAAUAAACGUAUUCGUUCGGUUGCGGAUCUGUUACAAGAUCAAUUCGGAUUGGCUCUUGGUCGUUUACAACAUGCAGUUCGAAAAACUAUUCGUAGAGUAUUCAUACGUCAAUCAAAACCGACUCCCCAAACUUUGGUAACUCCAACUUCAACUUCAAUUUUAUUAAUAACUACUUAUGAGACCUUUUUUGGCACAUACCCGUUAUCUCAAGUUUUUGAUCAAACGAAUCCAUUGACACAAACUGUUCAUGGACGAAAAGUGAGUUGUUUAGGUCCUGGAGGGUUGACGGGGAGAACCGCAAGUUUUCGGAGCCGAGAUAUUCAUCCGAGUCACUAUGGGCGUAUUGUGACAUUCCCUUCCGCAGGUUGA